GUCAGUGUUGGUGAAUGGAAAAUUACUGAGGAGACAGCUUCUGGCUCAACCCAUCUGACAGGAUUCUUGAGGAAGGGUACUCAGACCUGACCCCUGGGGGAUGGUGGAGAUGGAGACUGAUCAGAUAGGAGGGUGGACAGAGACUGGGGACAAGGAAUUCUAACUAAACUGACUUCACAGAGGUCUUUGCCAAACUGGAUUCUCAAGGAAGUUCUCAGAUGGACCUGACAGGCAAUCGGAAGCCUGGCCAGUUUGCCCAAGCAAAGAGUCUUUGUCUACCUUUUGGGGUGGGGGGUGGAGGGGAUGGGGGUGGCUGGAGGUUAACUACAAGACAGGAGUAGAGAAUCCACAGGGCCUGCUGCGCUUGGGAGAUCUGAAAAGGCUGCGGGAGCACUGUAGAAGGUGCUGAGCAGGAAGCCCUGGGGAUAGAUACAGUGGGAGAUCCUGCAGUCGAUAGCGCAGAGAAUACCAGAAAGUUCCUAGUUAGGCUGAGCAGAAACGCAGAGGGGAGUGGGGCAGGCAACAGACAGCGUCAGGGUGGGAAAGGAGGGAGAGACUGAGAUAGAGCGAUUGGUGACCAAAGGCAUUGGAUGACAGGUUUAGAGAUGGAGAGCUAGAAAAUGCGCAUGUCUCAGGGAGCUUGAGAUCCAGUUUCUGGAGUUCACAGUUUAUUUCUAUCUGUAUUAUGUCUCUUCUGGCCUGGAAAAGAAGAAGAGGAACAAAGCCUUGGGGGCGUGGGGAGGGGGACAACGGGACAGCAUGGUACAUUGCCUGCAGGGCCCUGCCUCGGUUAAUUGUUCCCUGAAACUGUGGCGCCCUCUCCUGGUAUAUGGUAUUUACAUACAUGGGCAUCCUGCCCCAGCGUUCAUUUUCUCAGCCAUCACCCAAAGGCAAACGUAGCUGAACGGUUGGAAGCACUUUGUGAGCGCUGGGAGUCCCCUGCAAAGCAAAUGUCAGGACUGGAGCCCACACCAACGGUCUCCCUCUCUUGAACCCGGAAACCAGCCGGAACGUUCUCCUGUGUUGCUGCAGCGUGCAGGGGUGAGAGAGGAUGCGGAUCGGAAACGGAGGCUUGAGGGUAUCCGGCAUCUAGAGGGGAGCGUGGACAUGCCAAGCCCCGCAAACUCUUUGUGAACAGGAAACCCCUAGAAGCGCCCUAACAGCCAGAUUCUGCCCUGCUUUUCUGACACACUCCCUGAUGCCACCAUGGGUGCCAGCUUCUAACUGCUUGGAGAAGCAGGGAAGGCGCACAGAACAGGAACUGCUACCUGGAACGCUAAAGCAGAAGGUUUCUAAAUCUGGCCUGCAUAUAUGUUGAGACCCCCCGUGUCAAAAUGAAAAUAGGAACGGGUGCCAGUGCUGGGCAUACAACUCUGACAAAGUGCUUAUCCAGAACGAAUAGAGCUGAGGAUCAAUCUCCAGUACUGAAAAGAAGGC
rnacentral:lncRNA from 1 species